rnacentral:lncRNA from 1 species
AUGUCAUCAUUCGUUUUAGUAGAUUACUUAGAAAAGUGAAUUUUCGGACAAAUAGAGACAUGAGAAACUAGUGAACCUAGGAUGGCAUGUUAAUUAAGAAGAAUGCAAGAAACAGAUUUAAAAUGCCACUAUUGUGUCAUCUUUAUUUCCCGACAUUGCCACAUCAAAAUCACCGCAGAAAAGCACAAUCAAACCCUCUCAGAAAAGCACAAUCAAACCCUUUCGCAAAGAGGAGAAAUUGUUAAACCGGCGAAAAGUCGAAAACAGCCAAAUAAAACUUAACAGAACAACAAUAAGACAGGAAUCGGAUAAGAGAGGAAAAAAAAAAUUAUACAACUGAGAAGUACAAACCUUUUGAAAUUUCAGCUCCAAAAAUUUCAGAAUUUAAAAAUUAAGAACACUUAUAAAAAUCAAUAACACGAAUUCCACCUAUGACCAGUUGUAAAUCGCCAAAGGGGGAAAAAAAAAAACAAGAGAACGAGAUCUAAGAAAACAAAGAUUACGAGCUAUUAUGAUUUAGAACUUAUUCAACAUCGAUUUCAUGCAUGACGCAAAGACUAAAAUUCCAUUUCUAACGAAUGUUUAGAAAAAUGGGAAAAUUUCACAGUUAGAUUUUCUGUGCCCUCCUCCUUUACCCGGGCUUGGGACCGGCUGUGUUGAGCAAAUAAAAUAUUGCAGGCACAGGCGGAGUUACAAGAAUAAACCAAUAUACAACUACCAACACUAAAAACACACAUAAUCACACAUAGAUAAAAGCAAGCAAAUUGAACAUACCAUUCCAGACAACAAAUAUUAAUUAAGGCUGAGAAAUAUUUUGAUUCAUAUACCAUAGUUUUUAUGAAUUUUCAUACUGGCAAACAAGUAGGUCAAAUUUAUAAGUAAUUUAGUUAAUCACUAAGCAGCUAAAAAUCACAAAGGUUAGUAGAUAGGAUAAAAGCUUUACUAGUAAAAACAUUCUUACUCUUCUGAAUCAUUCAUUUCCCUCUUUUUCUUUUAAUUAUUGUGGAAAACAUUACUGACAAAGGAAACAAAUUACCAAAGUCGUAUCAGAGACAAAUCCAAGAGGAAACAAAUUUUAUCAAAUAAGGUAACUACUAGAUUAAUUAGAAAAGUGAAUUUUCGGACAAAUAGAGACUUGAGAAACUAGUGAACCUAGGAUGGCAUGUUAACUAAGAAGAAUGCAAGAAACAGAUUUAAAAUGCCACUAUUCAAAAUAAACUUUAUAUUCGGCAAGUUGAUGGACAGAUAAAAUCUAGCUGAUGAGUGAUGAUCAUCCAUAGAUUAUAAAUUAUAAUUUAAAUAAUCCUAUUCAAGAUUAGAAAAAGUUGAUAAAUUAAAGAUUAUAGAUUAUUCAAUUAUAAAAGGAGCGUAGAGCUAUAUAUGUCAUUAUGAUUACCUUAAUUCCUGCUAAGAAAAUUCAAGAAGCUAAACGUAAUUGGAUUUGCCUAUUGUUGAAGCUAUCAAACAGAACUUGCAGAUGAAACAGGCAACUAGUUGUUCAAUAUGCAUAUUCAGAUAUUUGCUAAUGACAGUGUGCAGAAAAAUGAAAAAAGCCGACGAUCAUUUCUGAGAUAACUAUAUAAUCUCCAUCUUUUUUUUUCGCAUAAUAAAGUUAACCAGGAUUCAUCAGUGUGUCCUAUUAACUAAUCUUGGCAAGUACGAAUGAUAUCAAAAUUUGCUUUCAAAGGCCAAAAAAAUGGUUCGGUUACGGGAGAUAUGUCCAAAAACAGCACUUUGAUGAUAUAAUUACUAAUUAAUCAAACCAGUUUAUGCAGAAAUAGGACAGACAAAUGAUAAACUUGCAGCCAAGAAACAGAUUGUCAUCAACAUUAAAAAAACAGAAAGCACGUCAGGUAUAAAGCACGUCAGGUAAAACCGAAAGCAACCCAUAUCUAACAAACACAACCCAGAAACUCCGACGAACAAACUGCCGACAACAGAAAUCACUAAAGAAUUGGAGGAUGUUCAAUUAAACGAGUCUUGGCAAUCCAUUAAGAAGACGUAAGCUUAAAAGGCCUGAAAAUAUAAUACAAACCGAAUUUCACCUCCACAAGUAUGCUGGUUAAUGAAGUGAUGAUGAACGGUCACAAAAUUCCGAUGACAGAGAAUCGAUGGAGAGCCGUAAUCAUAUGAUAGGGCCAAUCCCAUCUAGGUUCUGCAAACAAAGGCGAGCUUAAUGCAUAAUCAUACAUUCCAAUUCAGCCUAUUUUACCACUGCAACCGGAUUUGCAAAAAAGGCAAGCAAGUCCCAUAACCAGAAAAAAACAUAGUGAUCAGACAAACAAAUAACUAAAAUCAACAGUAAGAAGGAAGAACAGAUUGCCUGAACCUGGACAAAACUUUAAACUCAGAUCCAACUGCAUUUAAUAAACAAAUCACAAAAUAGAUCAACUUCCCCAUUAUGUCGUGAUCCAAUCAGUAGCUAAGACUCUAAACUUCAAAUCCGACUGCAUGCAAAGUAAAGACAAAAUGAAACAGACCCAAGUAGCUUGCGAUAAGACUCUAAAAACCUCAGAUCGAACUGCAAUUUGAAGGACAAAUCAGAUUUAAAAAUCCAUGUAGGAAACUUUAUCACUAAUAUGAAAUAAAUAUAUCACUAAUUAUAUUAUCUUCCCCAUUAUGUCUCGAUCUGUUGGCAGCUUUUAAGAUAAAACUCUAAAAUGAAACAGACGGGUAAAAAAACACAGAAGGUAAAUAAAUCAUCAAUUAGAUCUUUCCCUUUACGUCCCGACCCAAGUAGCUUCCGAUAAGACUCUAAAAACUCAAACCGAACGUCCGAUAAGAAUAUAUAACUUAGCAUCACUAUCGUACUCAACACAGUCCAAACCAUCAUAUGUAGCAACCGAACUUGUCAAAACAUAACAUGAAAUUGUCACACACGCAAAUUUUACGAAAAGACGGAGAUGUGCUCAAAGCUCGAAACACUUCCCUUUUCCAGAAAUCCUAUGACCACGCAGAAAACAAAUCCAACCCCAGCCAACAACCAGACCACGAUGUGAAAGCAUGAACCAAAUCCAAACCACGGGAUAUUAAAUUGCAUAUUAAGCAAACAUCAUAAAUACCUUGUCGGAUCAAUUAUCAUUCAAAGAAGUCCUAGACAG